rnacentral:rRNA from 1 species
UGGGGAAUAUUGGGCAAUGGGCGAAAGCCUGACCCAGCAACGCCGCGUGAAGGAAGAAGGUUUUCGGAUUGUAAACUUCUGUCCUCAGGGAAGAAGGAAGUGACGGUACCUGAGGAGGAAGCCCCGGCUAACUACGUGACAGCAGCCGCGGUAAGACGUAGGGGGCGAGCGUUGUCCGGAAUUACUGGGCGUAAAGAGCGCGUAGGUGGUUAAGUAAGUAAGGUGUGAAAGGCCAGGGCUCAACCCUGGGAUUGCACUUGAAACUGUUUAACUUGAGGGCAGGAGAGGUAAGUGGAAUUCCUGGUGUAGCGGUGAAAUGCGUAGAUAUCAGGAGGAACACCAGUGGCGAAGGCGACUUACUGGCCUGGCUCUGACACUGAGGCGCGAAAGCGUGGGUAGCGAACAGG